rnacentral:rRNA from 1 species
AUUGAACGCUGGCGGCAUGCUUUACACAUGCAAGUCGAACGGUAACAGGCCUUCGGGUGCUGACGAGUGGCGAACGGGGGAGUAAGGCAUCGGAACGUGCCCAGAGGUGGGGGAUAACGCAGCGAAAGCUGUGCUAAUACCGCAUGUGAUCUGAGGAUGAAAGCGGGGGACCACGCAGCAUCGUUUGGCCUUGCGCGUUUGGAGCGGCCGAUGUCAGAUUAGGUAGUUGGUGGGGUAAAGGCCUACCAAGCCGACGAUCUGUAGCUGGUCUGAGAGGACGACCAGCCACACUGGGACUGAGACACGGUCCAGACUCCUACGGGAGGCAGCAGUGGGGAAUUUUGGACAAUGGGCGCAAGCCUGAUCCAGCAAUGCCGCGUGCGGGAAGAAGGCCUUCGGGUUGUAAACCGCUUUUGUACGGAACGAAAAGGCGCUGGCUAAUACCUGGGGCUGAUGACGGUACCGUAAGAAUAAGCACCGGCUAACUACGUG